CCUCUAGCCAGAAGGUCCAUUUAUCAUCACUAGCUCCACUAAGUCUACAUACAUAUGAUGGGGGACCACCAUCAAUUGCUUCAGGAGCUGGAAGUAUAUUGUCCGCAAGUGACCAACUUGAUAAGGGACCUGUAAUGUUAAGGACUGCAACCCAGACCUCUUUCAAGUCACCUAAGGAAAGUUCCAAGUAAACUCUCCUAGAUCCCCUGCUAGAAAAAGUACCAGGCUUGUAAUUAGACAAAUGGGGGAAAUAUCUAUAUUGCUUAAUAAUGUCAUCACUCCUUGCAGGGAACUUCAAACUUCUUGAAAACAGAUGAGAUACUGGAAAAAGAGCCAUCCAAGUCUCUCGGUGAGACGUAUUUGCAGUUUUGAAAGAAAAAUCCGUACCAACGUGCAAAUCCUUUGCAACUUCAGGAGCAUGUUUAAAAAGAAAAAGUAAAGAAUUGGAAUCCACUACAGAAAAAUCAUAACUGGAGUCCACAAUCCUAUUUGCAUCUGCAGUAACAACUGUAUGCUGAAAAACAACCCUCUUAGGGGCAGUGUUGCUGUAG
rnacentral:misc_RNA from 1 species